ensembl:lncRNA
GCUGUUGAAUUCUCAUUGUUCUUGGUCUAAAAGGUCAUGAGUGACAUGACACACAGCAGAAGCAAAAGCCAUGCCAUCCUGGCUGGUGUUACAUAUCUCGUGUUCAGAGCCAAUGGGAAUCUGUACAGUAAAUGGAGUUUUGACCAAAAUCCUCCUCCUUUCUUCUAAAAACAAUUUCACUUUUGUUUAAGCAGAAAAAUUGUAGGCAGAGAGCUCCUGAAUCUUCUGAACUUAAGGAGCAGCUGUGGAAGGUAUUGAACUAGGAUGAAGAUGUUUCAUGUGAAGCAAAUAACAAUUUUGUCUGCCUUUCAUCCAGCAAUUCCUCAGCUGCUUAUUAGCCCUCUGUCUCAUGCCAGUGAAGUGCUUCCAUGCUUACUCAGGACAGAAGAGGUCAACAGGCACUUGAGCAGGAAGUCCCCCUGGUUUAAUUGUCUAGCAGUCAGUGGUGAGACAUUUUCAGUGGAGGGCACUUGA